rnacentral:rRNA from 1 species
UACAGAGGGGGCAAGCGUUAUUCGGAAUUACUGGGCGUAAAGCGCGUGUAGGCGGUUAUCCAAGUCGGAUGUGAAAGCCUUGAGCUCAACUCAAGAAAUGCAUUCGGUACUGGGUGACUAGAGGACCGGAGAGGAUAGUGGAAUUCCCAGUGUAGUGGUGAAAUACGUAGAGAUUGGGAAGAACACCAGUGGCGAAGGCGGCUAUCUGGACGGUUUCUGACGCUAAGACGCGAAAGCGUGGGGAGCAAACAGG